CCAAAUACACUCAAAAAAAUAUUUUCUCCUAAAUUAGUUUUCCCUCCUAUUUAUAUUUCUUUGAAACAGGAAGCAAUGACUGGAUAAUUUCAUGUUUAUAAUCACCCUGUAGUGCUCAAAACUGUAAAUAUGAAUGGUAAUAUACUUUUACUAAUAAAGAUAUUUUACUAAUUAGAAUUUCUAGGGAUGCAAAUACUUGUGUCCAAUGUGUUUUUGAGAAAAAAAAAACAUUUAUUUCAUAAUGAUAUUUCCCCCCAUUUUAAAUUUGUAUCAUUCAAUGAAAGGUUAGAUUUUUGUGAAUUUUUUAGAUUAAAAAUCGAAAGGAUUAACUGCAGAUACAAUUUUGGAACCUUCUUUGUAAAAUAUUCUAUUACUGCAACAAAUGCUAUGUGAAAAACCAUUCUGCUGAAAGUUGCUGAUGAAGGCUUUGCUUUGCAGAGGAAUUAUUAUUUGUUGUGAAUUUAUUAUUGAAAAUGGUAGUUACCAUUUUGAAUGAAAUAAGUUGUUGUUGUUGACAGUGAUUUUGCAAUAGCUAAAUUUAUUCUACUACUAGACUCACAAACUCUUGCUCUAUGCUUCCUCUACAUUAAUAUUUAUAAAGAAUAAAUAAUGAACUUGAACUUAGUUUAGAUGUUUGAACUUAGUUUGGGGCAAAUAUUAUAUUGAUUAAUCUGGGCAAAACAUCAAACUUCUCAUUUACAACAGAAAUUUUAGGGUAAAUAUGUUUUUCAGAAGUUACUUAAAAAGAAAGUUUUAUCCUGAUAUUUCUGACAUAAUAUAUGAAUAUGACACUCAACGCUACUUAUUAAUUCUCUAAUAUUCUCUCAUAUAAGACAAAAGGAGACACUAAAUGAUCGAUUCAUGAAUGUGGUUCAUUAAUCUGUGACAAACACAGAGUUAUGAAGUUCUCUAACGUCACUAUAAUUUGGACAAAUACCAAUGAUGCACACCAAUAAAGCUCUCUUUAUGCAGUUCUAAAUAAAAACCACAACGUGCCACAACAGAACAGAAUUCCAUUGCAAUGUGGACGAACAUCAUCAAUUAAUAAAGGGCAUUUAGCCUGCUAGAUGCAACUGGGUUUUGACCAUUCAAUUGUACAGAAACCCAUAUAUUUUGAAAUCUUGAUUUUGUCUUUAUUAUUAUUUGUUGCUAGUUAGAUCUUUACAUCAUUGUGACAUCAUUCAAGGAGCUCAUAUGUCAAUUUACAAUAUUUACAAUGUGUAGAAUUGGGCGCGUUCUAUUCUGCCUUUGAAAUAUUUUCCCUCUACAGAUGUUUCCUUCUGUAAUUGCACACAUAAUUCCAACAGGCUUUACUCUUGAUCCUUUUUCAUAGUAUAAAGCGACCUCUAAUGGUGGAAUGCAAAUGCAAAAUGGUAUAAUCUAGUUGUCAUAAGCAUGUUUUCUACACAUUUCUAUUAGAUUUUUGUAAAUGUGGCAUGAAUUGUGCAUCUUGACUGGUAAUAAUGAAGAGAAUAGAUCAACCCAUUAUAAACCAGUUCUCUGAAAUAGCUCUGAAAAGGUUCUGAAAAAGAAAAACUUUAAUGAUCCUUCAAAUCAAUGCAAGGAGAUCUAUUAAUUAUUAAAUCCUUUUUAUUUAUUAACACACUUGUCUUUGAGAAAGUAAUUUUUUUCCUCAAAAACAUGGAAUCAAAAUUUUCAUAUUGUCUAAUUUUACUGUAAUCGGCCCAAUGUGUCUGAAAUGUGAAUUGUUUUUGGAGCGCAAACUUAAAACAAGUGAAAGUGGAUUGCAACAUGGGCAAGCCAAUAAAAUUUAAGGGAAAACUAAUCACAGCUGAUCUAAGGUAUAAUGUUUUUGUCUACAUAGUCAGACAGACUGAUGAAUCGAUUGAUUCUCUUUGUAAAAUGUAUGAAGACCUACUUGUCUUUUUCAAAUGUUUCUAUUCUAAUUUACUCUAGUAUUUUGUACAAGGAGAGAUCAAACCCGUCAGAGUCCAGCUGUGUGUCCAUGAAAAGCAACCAGUCAAUAGGCAAGCCAAUAAAAUUUAAAGGAAGACAAACAUUUUUAUCCUGAAACAACAGAAAUGAAUAUUUCCAAAGUUUACUUUAUCUUUGAUGGUCUGGAUGAGUGUUGUCUUUCUCUGAAUUUACAGAUCAAUGUGAGGUUGUGAUGUAAGUACAUCUGCAACAGUGGAUGUGCUACUGACAAAUCUCAUUGCAGGAAAUCCGCUGCCCUUUGCUCUCAUCUGGAUCACUUCUAGACCAGCAGGAGUUGAUCUCACCCCCUCUGAGUGUAUCCAUCGAGUGACAGAGGUACGAGGCUUCAAUGACCCACAGAAAGAGAAAUACUUCAGAAAGAGACUUCAGUCAUCAAGGAGCCUCCACAUAAUGUUCCACAUCCCAGUGUUCCAUUGGAUCUCAGCCACUGUUCUUGAGGGAAUUUUGGGGAAAUCAUGGAAAGGAAAUGUCCCUAAGACUGUUACUCAAAUGUACACAUACUUCCUGAUCCUUCAGAUAAACAUCAAACAUGAGAAGGACUACGAGAAGAAAGUGAAAGAUGAAGAUCCUCAGGAAACUGACUUUUCAGCAGCUUGUGAAAGGCAGCCUGAUCUUUUAAUAUGAAGACCUGAGAGAGAGUGGCAUUGAUGUGAGAGAAGCAUCCGUGUACUCUGGAUUGUGUACACACAGAUCUUCAGAGGGAAAUUUGGCCUGUCAGAAGAUUAGGGGAAGUUCUUCUGCUUUGUUCAUCUUAGCAUUCAGGAACAUAACAUAAAUGUGUUUGACCAUGUCAGCAAACACAAUUUCUUCUCUAAGUUCUUAAACUGAAUGAAAAAUAGUUAAUUAUCUGACCUACAUCAUGCAGCUCUGGAUGAGGCUUUACAGAGCAAGAAUGGACAUAUGGACCUUUUCCAUUUUCUUCUGGGUCUCUCAAUGGAGUCUAAUCAGACACUUUUACAAGAACUACUGAAACAGACAGGAAGCUGCCCCUACAAUAAAAAGGAAAUAACUAAGUACAUCAAACAGAAGAUCAGGGAGAAUCCCUCUCCAGAGACAUCCAUAAUCUGUUCCACUGUCUAAAUAAACUGGGUGAUGAUUCACUAAUGCAGGAGAUCCAGGCUUAUCUGACAUCUGGAAAAAUAAAUCAAAUUAAUCUCUCUUCUUCACAGUGGUCAGCUCUGGUUUUUGUGUUGCUGACAUCAGAGCAGAAGAUGGAAACAUUUGAUCUAAAAAAUUAAUGGGAACAAAAAUACAGCAGAUGCAGUUCUUCAGAAACUGCUGGCUUUGAUCGAAGAAUCCAAUUGUGUAGGUGUGGUGUCACAGAUAAAGUUUGCUGUUCUGGCUUCAGCAUUGAGCUCAAAGCCCUCACACGUGAGAAAUCUGGAUGUGUUGGAAAUAAGCUACAAGAUGCAGGAGUGAAGCUAAUCUCAGAUGGACUGAUGGAUCCUCACUGUAAACUGGAAAUACAGAAGCUGAGUGAUUAUGGUGUCACGGAUGAAGGUUGUGCUGCUCUGGCUUCAGGUCUAAGAUCAAACCCCUCACACCUGAGAGAACUGAAUCUGUCUGGAAAUAAACUAAGACAUUCAGAAUUGAAACUACUCUCUAAUGGAUUGGAGAACUCUCACUUUAAUCUGGAUAUGCUGUGGUAAAUAGUAGUUCUGACAAAAAAGGCUCAGAUUAAACAUGCCUCACACACACACGAGAGAGUUUUUAGAUUUAUGGUAGCACUUUAUUUUACAAUAUGUGUACUUCCCUGGUACAUACAUGGUAAAUAUCUUGUACCUACCAGCAAAUGAGUGGUAACACAAGGUGCCUGAAGUGUUUGUACGUGGUAACAGAUAAUAAGGUACAUGUAAAACAUGAUGUGCGAAAAGUGCAAAGAGGUACAUAUUUUGAUGAGACUAGGUUGGCUUUAGGUCAGGCAUGUUGGCUGGCCAGUCAAGCACAGUAACAUCAUAGUCAUCAACACACUUAGAAGUAGUUUUGGCACUGUGGGCAAGUGGUAAAGUCCUGCUGGAGAAGGAACCUCUCCGUAAAGCUGGUCAGCAGAUGAAAGCAUAAAUUGCUCCAAAUUCUGUUAGACGGCUGCAUUGAGUUGAUAAAAUACGAAAACACCAGCAGACAUCACAGCAUCCCAAAUCAUCACUGACUUCAGAAAUUAGACUUCAAGCUGCUUGUAGUCUGUCUCUCCAAUCUUUCUGCAGACUCCAGACCUUGAUUUACAAAUGAAAUGCAAAAUGUACUUUUAUUUGAAAAGAGGACUUUGGACCACUAAACAACAGUCCACUUCUUUUUCUCCUUAGCCUGGGUAAGAUGCUUCUGACAUUGUUAAGAAGUGGCUUUGUAGUCCUUUUCCUGAAGAAGUCUGAGCGGAUGACCCUUGAUUCACUUAUUCCAGCUUCCGUCCACUCCCUGUGAAGUUCUCCCAAGCGCUUGCAUGGAUCAAUAUAUAUAUAUUUUUUUGCUUUAAUCAAACAGGGAACAUUAAUAUCCCGACAAAAUCUAAGCACUUAAUCACAUUUAUUCAUCUACUUUGUAGUAGGAUGUAUGCAAAUUUCACACAAUGUUUAAAGACAUUUUAAAUGUUUAUUGUUCAUUCUUGCUUGCUGUUAUACUUGAGUAUGAAAGGAGAAAUUAUAGAUGUAAAUUUGACUGGAUUACUAUUGAUAUUGCUUAUGAUUUACAUUGAUUGAACCAGAGGAAGGACUUCUCCAUAUUUAUUGGUUAAGCAGGUUUCCAGAUUUGCUCUUGCUAAAAGCAGAAGCCUUGAUUAUUAUGCUUCAUUAUUAUCACACCAUUUUCGAGCACUCCGACUGCUCUUUCAUGGUGGAUGAUGAUGCUUUCUCUGACAUUUGCAAGUAAACCUUACUAUACUAAUCUGAACUGGCUGAAACUGAAACUUUCAACUAAACAUGCAAUAAAAAAAAAAUUCAUGCCCCUCCCUUCCCCCACUCUGCAUGUUUCUGAUAAGAAUAAACAAUGGACUUUAACCUAAAAUAUAAGAUACAGGAAGAUAAGAGACAUAAGAACAA